rnacentral:rRNA from 1 species
AACGAACGCUGGCGGCAUGCCUAACACAUGCAAGUCGAACGAGACCUUCGGGUCUAGUGGCGCACGGGUGCGUAACGCGUGGGAACCUGCCCUUAGGUUCGGAAUAACUCCCCGAAAGGGGUGCUAAUACCGGAUAAUGUCUUCGGACCAAAGAUUUUUCGCCUUUGGAUGGGCCCGCGUUGGAUUAGCUAGUUGGUAGGGUAAAAGCCUACCAAGGCGACGAUCCAUAGCUGGUCUGAGAGGAUGAUCAGCCACACUGGGACUGAGACACGGCCCAGACUCCUACGGGAAGCAGCAGUGGGGAAUAUUGGACAAUGGGCGAAAGCCUGAUCCAGCAAUGCCGCGUGAGUGAUGAAGGCCUUAGGGUUGUAAAGCUCUUUUACCCGGGAUGAUAAUGACAGUACCGGGAGAAUAAGCUCCGGCUAACUCCGUG